rnacentral:rRNA from 1 species
GACGAACGCUGGCGGCGUGCUUAACACAUGCAAGUCGAACGGAAAGGCCCUGCUUUUGUGGGGUGCUCGAUUGGCGAACGGGUGAGUAACACGUGAGUAACCUGCCCUUGACUUUGGGAUAACUUCAGGAAACUGGGGCUAAUACCGGAUAGGAGCUCCUGCUGCAUGGUGGGGGUUGGAAAGUUUCGGCUGUUGGGGAUGGACUCGCGGCUUACCAGCUUGUUGGUGGGGUAGUUGCUGUCCAAGGCUUUGACGGGUAGCCGGCCUGAGAGGGUGGCCGGGCACAUUGGGACUGCGGUACGGCCCAGAAGCCUACGGGAGGCAGCAGUGGAGAAUAUUGCACAAUGGGGGGACGCCUGAUGCAGAAACGCCGCGAGCGGGAUGACGGCCUUCGGGUUGUGAACCGCUUUCGACUGUGACGAAGAGUGAGUGACGGUAAUGGGUCAAGAAGCACCGGCUAACUACGUG